rnacentral:rRNA from 1 species
GAGGAAUAAGCAUCGGCUAACUCCGUGCCAGCAGCCGCGGUAAUACGGGGGAUGCAAGCGUUAUCCGGAAUCAUUGGGCGUAAAGCGCCUGUAGGUUGUUUAAUAAGUCUGUUGUUAAAGACUAGGGCUCAACCCUAGGAAAGCAAUGGAAACUAUUAGACUUGAGUAUGGCAGGGGUAGAGGGAAUUUCUAGUGUAGCGGUGAAAUGCGUAGAUAUUAGAAAGAACACCGGUGGCGAAAGCGCUCUACUGGACCAUUACUGACACUCAGAGGCGAAAGCUAGGGUAGCAAAAGGGAUUAGAUACCCCUGUAGUCCUAGCCGUAAACGAUGGAUACUACAUGUUGUGCGUAAUGUACAGUAUGGUAGCUAACGCGUUAAGUAUCCCGCCUGGGGAGUACGCUCGCAAGGGUGAAACUCAAAGGAAUUGACGGGGGCCCGCACAAGCGGUGGAGCAUGUGGUUUAAUUCGAUGCAACGCGAAGAACCUUACCAGGGCUUGACAUACUACGAAUUCUUUUGAAAAAAAGAAGUGCCUUCGGGAAUGUAGAUACAGGUGGUGCAUGGCUGUCGUCAGCUCGUGUCGUGAGAUGUUGGGUUAAGUCCCGCAACGAGCGCAACCCUUAUUUUUAGUUACCAAUUCGUUGGGAUUUUUAGAAAGACUGCCGGUGACAAACCGGAGGAAGGUGAGGAUGACGUCAAGUCAGCAUGCCCCUUAUGUCCUGGGCUACACACGUGCUACAAUGGUUAAGACAAAGAGUCGCGAGCUUGUAAAAGUCAGCUAAUCUCAUAAACUUAGCCUAAGUUCAGAUUGUAGGCUGCAACUCGCCUGCAUGAAG